GGUUAAGCGACUAAGCGUACACGGUGGAUGCCCUGGCAGUCAGAGGCGAUGAAGGACGUGCUAAUCUGCGAUAAGCGUCGGUAAGGUGAUAUGAACCGUUAUAACCGGCGAUUUCCGAAUGGGGAAACCCAGUGUGAUUCGUCACACUAUCAUUAACUGAAUCCAUAGGUUAAUGAGGCGAACCGGGGGAACUGAAACAUCUAAGUACCCCGAGGAAAAGAAAUCAACCGAGAUUCCCCCAGUAGCGGCGAGCGAACGGGGAGCAGCCCAGAGCCUGAAUCAGUGUGUGUGUUAGUGGAAGCGUCUGGAAAGGCGCGCGAUACAGGGUGACAGCCCCGUACACAAAAAUGCACAUGCUGUGAGCUCGAUGAGUAGGGCGGGACACGUGGUAUCCUGUCUGAAUAUGGGGGGACCAUCCUCCAAGGCUAAAUACUCCUGACUGACCGAUAGUGAACCAGUACCGUGAGGGAAAGGCGAAAAGAACCCCGGCGAGGGGAGUGAAAAAGAACCUGAAACCGUGUACGUACAAGCAGUGGGAGCACAGAGCAAUCUGUGUGACUGCGUACCUUUUGUAUAAUGGGUCAGCGACUUAUAUUCUGUAGCAAGGUUAACCGAAUAGGGGAGCCGAAGGGAAACCGAGUCUUAACUGGGCGUUAAGUUGCAGGGUAUAGACCCGAAACCCGGUGAUCUAGCCAUGGGCAGGUUGAAGGUUGGGUAACACUAACUGGAGGACCGAACCGACUAAUGUUGAAAAAUUAGCGGAUGACUUGUGGCUGGGGGUGAAAGGCCAAUCAAACCGGGAGAUAGCUGGUUCUCCCCGAAAGCUAUUUAGGUAGCGCCUCGUGAAUUCAUCUCCGGGGGUAGAGCACUGUUUCGGCAAGGGGGUCAUCCCGACUUACCAACCCGAUGCAAACUGCGAAUACCGGAGAAUGUUAUCACGGGAGACACACGGCGGGUGCUAACGUCCGUCGUGAAGAGGGAAACAACCCAGACCGCCAGCUAAGGUCCCAAAGUCAUGGUUAAGUGGGAAACGAUGUGGGAAGGCCCAGACAGCCAGGAUGUUGGCUUAGAAGCAGCCAUCAUUUAAAGAAAGCGUAAUAGCUCACUGGUCGAGUCGGCCUGCGCGGAAGAUGUAACGGGGCUAAACCAUGCACCGAAGCUGCGGCAGCGACNNNNNNNNNNNNNNNNNNNNNNUGCUGGAGGUAUCAGAAGUGCGAAUGCUGACAUAAGUAACGAUAAAGCGGGUGAAAAGCCCGCUCGCCGGAAGACCAAGGGUUCCUGUCCAACGUUAAUCGGGGCAGGGUGAGUCGACCCCUAAGGCGAGGCCGAAAGGCGUAGUCGAUGGGAAACAGGUUAAUAUUCCUGUACUUGGUGUUACUGCGAAGGGGGGACGGAGAAGGCUAUGUUGGCCGGGCGACGGUUGUCCCGGUUUAAGCGUGUAGGCUGGUUUUCCAGGCAAAUCCGGAAAAUCAAGGCUGAGGCGUGAUGACGAGGCACUACGGUGCUGAAGCAACAAAUGCCCUGCUUCCAGGAAAAGCCUCUAAGCAUCAGGUAACAUCAAAUCGUACCCCAAACCGACACAGGUGGUCAGGUAGAGAAUACCAAGGCGCUUGAGAGAACUCGGGUGAAGGAACUAGGCAAAAUGGUGCCGUAACUUCGGGAGAAGGCACGCUGAUAUGUAGGUGAAGUCCCUCGCGGAUGGAGCUGAAAUCAGUCGAAGAUACCAGCUGGCUGCAACUGUUUAUUAAAAACACAGCACUGUGCAAACACGAAAGUGGACGUAUACGGUGUGACGCCUGCCCGGUGCCGGAAGGUUAAUUGAUGGGGUUAGCGCAAGCGAAGCUCUUGAUCGAAGCCCCGGUAAACGGCGGCCGUAACUAUAACGGUCCUAAGGUAGCGAAAUUCCUUGUCGGGUAAGUUCCGACCUGCACGAAUGGCGUAAUGAUGGCCAGGCUGUCUCCACCCGAGACUCAGUGAAAUUGAACUCGCUGUGAAGAUGCAGUGUACCCGCGGCAAGACGGAAAGACCCCGUGAACCUUUACUAUAGCUUGACACUGAACAUUGAGCCUUGAUGUGUAGGAUAGGUGGGAGGCUUUGAAGUGUGGACGCCAGUCUGCAUGGAGCCGACCUUGAAAUACCACCCUUUAAUGUUUGAUGUUCUAACGUUGACCCGUAAUCCGGGUUGCGGACAGUGUCUGGUGGGUAGUUUGACUGGGGCGGUCUCCUCCUAAAGAGUAACGGAGGAGCACGAAGGUUGGCUAAUCCUGGUCGGACAUCAGGAGGUUAGUGCAAUGGCAUAAGCCAGCUUGACUGCGAGCGUGACGGCGCGAGCAGGUGCGAAAGCAGGUCAUAGUGAUCCGGUGGUUCUGAAUGGAAGGGCCAUCGCUCAACGGAUAAAAGGUACUCCGGGGAUAACAGGCUGAUACCGCCCAAGAGUUCAUAUCGACGGCGGUGUUUGGCACCUCGAUGUCGGCUCAUCACAUCCUGGGGCUGAAGUAGGUCCCAAGGGUAUGGCUGUUCGCCAUUUAAAGUGGUACGCGAGCUGGGUUUAGAACGUCGUGAGACAGUUCGGUCCCUAUCUGCCGUGGGCGCUGGAGAACUGAGGGGGGCUGCUCCUAGUACGAGAGGACCGGAGUGGACGCAUCACUGGUGUUCGGGUUGUCAUGCCAAUGGCACUGCCCGGUAGCUAAAUGCGGAAGAGAUAAGUGCUGAAAGCAUCUAAGCACGAAACUUGCCCCGAGAUGAGUUCUCCCUGACUCCUUGAGAGUCCUGAAGGAACGUUGAAGACGACGACGUUGAUAGGCCGGGUGUGUAAGCGCAGCGAUGCGUUGAGCUAACCGGUACUAAUGAACCGUGAGGCUUAACCUU
rnacentral:rRNA from 1 species